UGUGGGAGCUGGCUUGCCUGCGAUAGCGGAGUGUCAGUCAACAAACAGCGACUGAUCCACCGCUAUCGCAGGCAAGCCAGCUCCCACA
rnacentral:misc_RNA from 1 species